UACGUAGGGGGCAAGCGUUGUCCGGAUUCAUUGGGCGUAAAGAGCGUGUAGGCGGCCAGGUAGGUCGGUUGUGAAAACUGGAGGCUCAACCUUCAGAGGUCGACCGAAACCAUCUGGCUAGAGUCCGGGAGAGGAGAGUGGAAUUCCUGGUGUAGCGGUGAAAUGCGCAGAUAUCAGGAGGAACACCCGUAGCGAAGGCGGCACUCUGGGCCGAUACUGACACUGAGGAGCGAAAGCGUGGGGAGCGAACAGG
rnacentral:rRNA from 1 species